UAUGGUGAAAGCGGAGUGGUCAAGACAAACCACUUUUGCAAAAUAUUAUGACAAGCAUAUUAUUGCCGAAUCAGACCCAUUCCAGGAAGCCAUAUUAGAAUGAGUUGGGUAUCUUACUACAACAUAUGGGUGGACUUUACGGGUUACGUAUAGGGCUCAGGCAACUGAUUAAAUGUUAUUUUGUAUUUUGUGAACAUUUACAUUACCAUGUCUGGGUAUCAAAGUGUGGUGCGCAGCCAAGGCAUAUGGUUUAUUAUUAGUUAUACACUAAGUUUACACAGCAGUAGAUCAGCAUUUCACAAUGGAUGAGCAGUUGUUCAGAUUAGCUGGGUGCUCAUAACAUGUUCUUGUCAAAUGAAUUAUACAGCUCAAAGGGAAAUUUUGUCAUACUUAUGUGCACGUGUAUGUAUAUGAACAUAUCAGUAGAUCAUCGGUGUCCACGAAUAUUUACUGACCCAAAUUCAUAACUAAUAUCAGAUACGACACCCACAUGGCUUCAAAGCCUCAUGUGGAGGCUCCUCUCAGCAGAGGGCGGCUUGAUGAUGUAAAAUUGAACAAGUAGACGAGACUUACCUUGUGUCAGUUGAAGUAUGCUUGUAAUUUUACGAAGCAAGCCGCCUCUGCUAGAGGGGAGCCUUCACAUGCCCUCCACUCCCUCCCAUGCUUGCAUGAUUAGGACUCAUUCACCAUCCUAUACGGUUAUGCUUAUCUUACGGCAUGUGGGUGGUCGUAUAUUUCGAAGUCUGGUGGUGGCGCGGAGAAGUGUAUCUCAUGUGAAGGCUCCCCUCUAGCAGAGGCGGCUUGCUUCGUAAAAUUACAAGCAUACUUCAACUGACACAAGGUAAGUCUCGUCUACUUGUUCAAUUUUCCCACAUAGUAUAUAUAAGGUGGGGUUAUAAGGAAGGUUGCACCCAGCAUCAGCAUUUAGCAUUUAAAUUUCCAAACAAAGCAUAAUGUCGGAAAUUUGUAUGCAAAAUUUACCUCCUGUUAUAUUAUGUACCAUUAGGGAGAAAUUUAUUCAAUUUGGAGAAAUUGCACUUUGUGAAAUUAGCUAAAUAAGACUAUUAUAAUUCAAAUUUGGGACAGUAAAUCAAACAACAGAGGUAAUUUAAUACCCGCACAUAUCACCGUCGUGGCAGGAAGCGACGUCACGGCGUUGGGGCUCGUGAGCAAAAGCCUCUCCGAAGGCGACUCCAGGUACCCUGUGACGCAAGAAAUGGCUCUCCUCAUCAGACUCUGGGGCGGUAUACACAAAAGUUCUUAGCAUCGCUAAGUGCACUUAACGGCAAAGAAUCGUUAAGUUUUCUACUUAAAAUGGCGCUGGGCCGCUUAGCGCUGAAGCUGGAGCACUUAGCGGGCGGAAAAUUUAAGGCGGGGAAGGGGCUCCCUUAGCACCGUUAAAAAUGCAUAAGUAUUGCAACAUGGUGGAUUACAGCGGGAUGAAAGGCAUCACCUCCUAAUAUAUCUGCCUCGUCUAGACGAAUUGGAGGCGUGUAAUGAUUUGAAACUCAUCCUGAAAUAUCUGUGGACUGUGCUGACCGUGCUGAGAUGAGUGGUUCGGCGAGGCGGACCUUGGAAACACCUACAUGGCCAUCACGACUGAAGUGGUGUUCGCUGACAGGUAAAAUGCAGGUGCAACCUUCACAGACUGACAGAGAUUGAGUGAUAACAGACACUGGAGACCCUCCAAGCGAUGGCUGGUGACCGCCUGCCACCAUCCACAGGCUGUCACACAAGGAGCCCUGGGAGUAACCUUGCUGGAAGCCCCGCGGGCCGCGGUGUGUGGCUGGCGUUAUACAGCCCCCAGCCAUCGCCUGGAGGGCAUCCAGUGUCUGUUAUCACUCACCUUAGGUAGUCUGUGAAGGUCCAGUCAUCACUGGUGCACGUGUAUCUUACCUGUGAUCAACACCGGCAGCCACAGACUCCUGCCCAAGGAACGAACACAGUGAUCGUGAUGACAUUGACAACAACGAGCAAGUCCUCCUAGACCUAGAGUGACCUCAAGCUGGGCCAAACAUGAUGUGGAAGAAGAAAUCAGUUGUCUCCAUCAGUCGGGUUUGUGCCAUGGCAGCUUUCUCCAGCUGUCCGGCAGAGGUCCAGUCCAUGCCAUGGAGAAAUUCAGCCCCCAACAAUGAGAUGGCAUGCCAGAGAUGGAUCCGCAGCUUCUCCUCCAAUCAAUCAAUCCUUGCAAUGCCCUUUCUCUUUUCUCUUCUUCUGUACCACCAUGCUUACACAUAACUGAUCCAAGGUACUUAAACUCGUUAACCUCCUCCAUUUCUUCACCAUUCAAAAUUAUUUGGCAUUCUUUUUCACAUUCAAUGCCCACUCUAUAUGGGCAUACAAACUCUACAACCUCCCUUCUACUCCGCUCACAAACCAUCACUUUACUUUUGUUGACAUUUACUUUCAACUUUCUCCUUUUACAUACACUAUCAAAAACACUGACGAAAUUUUGUGUCACUUUCAUUUUCUGCAUUGAGCACCGUGUCAUCAGCAAAUAAGAUUGAAUUCAUCACCCACUUCCCUCCUUCCCUCAGCAUACAUUUUUACUUCAAUUUCCCCAACUUUGCCCUUCAUUUCUCAUAACACCAUCCAUAUAAAUAUUGAACAACCAUGAUGACAUAUAUAUCUUUAAGACAUCCCACAAUGCCAGCCAAUCGACUCUGUCAUAAACUUUCUUUAGAAUAACUAGAUCCAUGAAGGCAGCAUAGUAUUUUUUCCUUUUGCUAAUAUUUUUUCUAAUAAAACACCAUACUGAAGGAAAAUAUCUGAUCCACACAUCCUCUUCCCUUCCUAAAGUCUCCUUGUUCUUCACUGAUUUUCUCUUCUGUAAGUCUUUGCGCAGUCUCAAUUAGGACUUUUCCAUAUACCUUUCCAGGUAGCCUACACUCAGCAGACUUAUACCCCUACAACUCCCA